rnacentral:misc_RNA from 1 species
GAUGAAGAACGUAGCGAAACGCGAUAGGUAAUGUGAAUUGCAGAAUUCAGUGAAUCAUCGAAUCUUUGAACGCAUCUUGCGCUUGCUGGUAUUCCGGCAAGCAUGCCUGUUUGAGUGUCAUGAAACUUAUCAACCGUGACUUGGGUUUAGGCCCCUGGCUCGGCUUGGAUUUGGGUGCUUGCGGCCUCGUGCUGCUCACCUUAAAAGGAUUAGCUGGACAUGUCGUGAGACUUGGUUCUACUUGGCGUAAUAAGUAUUUCGCUGAGGACAUCCCCUCGUGGGGUGGCCAAGACUCUAGUGCAAACGUCUGCUUUCUAACCCGAUCGUCCUCGGACAUCACUUUUUAUGAUCUGGACUCAAAUCAGGUAGGACUACCCGCUGAACUUAAGCAUAUCAAUAAGCGGAGGA